rnacentral:pre_miRNA from 1 species
CAACUACUCCCUCUGUCCCAAAUUUCUUGUCUUAGAUUUGUCUAGAUACGGAUGUAUCUAAUACUAAAAUGUGACUUGAUACAUCCGUAUCUGGACAAAUCUAAGACAAGAAUUUUGGGACGGAGGGAGUAAUUU